AUGGAGCUGCGUGGUUCCAGCAACUACACAGACAGACAACCCCACGCAACAGCUGAAAGCCUGGAAAAACCAAAUGCCCUGCAAAAAUGGGAUGCCCAAAAUGGUGUUGCCGGAACUUGUUCCCCGGUUUUAAAUAAAUGUAGUGUUUGCAUUCCCUAUGUGUUCUCCACUCGCCCCCCGGCAUUCUUCCAAGUCCAGAAUAUUCCCUGUAUGAUAUUCUUUGCUGGGAAAUCCGUGGACAUCUUUAAAAUAGUUGUGGAAAAGGAGGAUUUCACUGACGUUGUAGAUGCUAUAGGAAAACACCAAACGGCGGAUGAUGCAGGUGCAGCCGGGGGGCCCGGAGGCCCUGGUGGGCCUGGGACGGGGAACCGCGGUGGCUUCCUCGGAGAUUUCGGCAGUGGCAUCCGGGGCCGGGGUCGUGGCCGUGGAUGGGGCCGGGGCCGAGGCCGAGGCCGAGGCCACGGAGCUCGCGGAGGCAAGGCCGAGGAUAAGGAGUGGAUGCCCGUCACCGAGCUGGGCUGCUUGGUCAAGGACAUGAAGAUCAAGUCCCUGGAGGAGAUCUACCUCUUCUCCCUGCCCAUUAAGGAAUCUGAGACCAUUGACUUUUUCCUGGGGGCCUCUCUCAAAGACGAGGUUUUGGAGAUUAUGCCCGUGCAGAAGCAGACCCGUGCUGGCCAGCGCACCAGGUUCAAGGCGUUUGUUGCUAUUGGGGACUACAACGGCCACGUCGGCCUGAGUGUUAAGUGCUCCAAGGAGGUGGCCACCGCCAUCCGUGGGGCCAUCAUCCUGGCCAAACUCUCCAUUGUCCCCGUGCGCAGAGGCUACCGGGGGAACAAGAUGGGCAAGCCCCACACCGUCCCUUGCAAGGUGACAGGCCGCUGUGGCUCUGUGCUGGUGCGCCUCAUCCCUGCACCCAGGGGCACUGGCAUCGUCUCAGCGCCUGUGCCCAAGAAGCUGCUCAUGAUGGCUGGUACUGAUGACUGCUACACCUCAGCCCGGGGCUGCACUGCCACCCUGGGCAACUUCGCCAAGGCCACCUUUGAUGCCAUCUCUAAGACCUACAGCUACCUGACCCCUGACCUCUGGAAGGAGACUGUGUUUACCAAGUCUCCCUAUCAGGAAUUCAUUGACCACCUUGUCAAGACCCACACCAGAGUCUCCGUGCAGCGGACCCAGGCUCCAGCUGUGGCUACAACAUAGGGUUUUUAUACAAGAAAAAUAAAGUGAAUUAAGCCUAAAA